CUGCGGCAGCUAUACAUGCAAGUCGAGCGCGGGAAGCAGGCAGAUCCUCUUCGGAGGUGACGCCUGUGGAACGAGCGGCGGACGGGUGAGUAACACGUGGGCAACCUGCCUGUAAGAUUGGGAUAACCCCGGGAAACCGGGGCUAAUACCGGAUAAUACUUUUCGUUGCAUAACGAGAAGUUGAAAGGCGGCUUUUAGCUGUCACUUACAGAUGGGCCCGCGGCGCAUUAGCUAGUUGGUAAGGUAACGGCUUACCAAGGCGACGAUGCGUAGCCGACCUGAGAGGGUGAUCGGCCACACUGGGACUGAGACACGGCCCAGACUCCUACGGGAGGCAGCAGUAGGGAAUCUUCCGCAAUGGACGAAAGUCUGACGGAGCAACGCCGCGUGAGUGAUGAAGGUUUUCGGAUCGUAAAACUCUGUUGUCAGGGAAGAACAAGUGCCGUUCAAAUAGGGCGGCACCUUGACGGUACCUGACCAGAAAGCCCCGGCUAACUACGUGCCAGCAGCCGCGGUAAUACGUAGGGGGCAAGCGUUGUCCGGAAUUAUUGGGCGUAAAGCGCGCGCAGGCGGUCCUUUAAGUCUGAUGUGAAAGCCCAC
rnacentral:rRNA from 1 species